rnacentral:rRNA from 1 species
GACGAACGCUGGCGGCGUGCCUAAUACAUGCAAGUUGAGCGAUGAAGAUUGGUGCUUGCACCAAUUUGAAGAGCAGCGAACGGGUGAGUAACGCGUGGGGAAUCUGCCUUUGAGCGGGGGACAACAUUUGGAAACGAAUGCUAAUACCGCAUAACAACUUUAAACAUAAGUUUUAAGUUUGAAAGAUGCAAUUGCAUCACUCAAAGAUGAUCCCGCGUUGUAUUAGCUAGUUGGUGAGGUAAAGGCUCACCAAGGCGAUGAUACAUAGCCGACCUGAGAGGGGGAUCGGCCACAUUGGGACUGAGACACGGCCCAAACUCCUACGGGAGGCAGCAGUAGGGAAUCUUCGGCAAUGGACGAAAGUCUGGCCGAGCAACGCCGCGUGAGUGAAGAAGGUUUUCGGAUCGUAAAACUCUGUUGGUAGAGAAGAACGUUGGUGAGAGUGGAAAGCUCAUCAAGUGACGGUAACUACCCAGAAAGGGACGGCUAACUACGUG